rnacentral:rRNA from 1 species
UUGGAGGGCAAGUCUGGUGCCACCAGCCGCGGUAAUUCCAGCUCCAAUAGCGUAUAUUAAAGUUGUUGCAGUUAAAAAGCUCGUAGUUGAAUUUCGGGAUUCUACCGUUGGUCGGGCUAACAAGUCUGUACUGGUGUGUAGAAUUUCUACCUUCUGGGGAACUAUCAUGUUAUUAAUUUAGCGUGGUGGGAAACCAGGACCUUUACCUUGAAAAAAUUAGAGUGUUCAAAGCAGGCUUACGUCUGAAUACAUUAGCAUGGAAUAAUAAAAUAGGACGGUGGUCCUGUUUUGUUGGUUUCUGAAUCACCGUAAUGAUUAAUAGGGAUAGUUGGGGGCAUUAGUAUUCAAUUGUCAGAGGUGAAAUUCUUGGAUUUAUUGAAGACUAACUUCUGCGAAAGCAUUUGCCAAGGAUGUUUUCAUUAAUCAAGAACGAAAGUUAGGGGAUCGAAGACGAUCAGAUACCGUCGUAGUCUUAACCAUAAACUAUGCCGACUAGGGAUCGGACGAUGUUAAAUUUUAUUGACUCGUUCGGCGCCUUACGGGAAAC